rnacentral:ncRNA from 2 species
GAAUCAUAAUAUUCAUUAAAUGCUCGAAAGAGGUAAAAGGGAAUCAGGUGAAAAGCCUGAACGGUCCGGCCACUGUAUCCAGGGAGUGAAAGCUGUAAUAUGCCAUUGCAGAAUCAAUAUUUUUGUGAGAAGGCACAGCAUGAGCGAUAAUCUGGAAGUCAGGAAACCUGUUUAAUGAAAGAGAGAGGA